rnacentral:misc_RNA from 1 species
CCGGCAGAUUAACGUUCUCUGUGCAAUAUUCCAGUAGCUAAAAAGUCUUCACGGUAUACAGCAUGAACGGGAAAAAAAAAACGCAACAUGCAGAAUGUCAAAACGAGAGCAAGGCACGAGUUUGCAAGCGUAAUGCAACGAUGCCGUAGCGGCUUCUGUGAAACAAAAAGGAAAACGGUGCACGUGUUCAUCGCUCUUCUUUUUUGUGGAAAUCAAACACGAAGAGAGACAGAGAGAGACGCGCAUCCUUUACGGAGAAGAAGGGGUGUUGCAGGGUCGAGGCAGCCUGAAACGAGCAACCCCUGUAAUGGAGCUCUUUCCCGUCUUCUACGCGCUGUACACACCCUACACCCUUUCUCUUCUUCUUACUCGCUUUCCUGCUCUUCAUUUGAUAGAGCCAUCACACAGGACGUCGCCGCCGCGCUCAACGCAGUGGAAGGCACCGGUACUGCGGCCUUGCGCAAGCCCUUUCUUUCUACGUGUUCUUCAGCCCCCGAGAGCCUUCUCCGAUUCGUGGGCUGCCUAUCAUGACGUCUCGGCAUCCAACUCGGCGACUUGUGGAUGUGCUAAAGCAGAACAGCAGGAAGACGCUCGACCGCCACGCGGCGCAGUUGGCCGCGGCAGCAUCAUCGCUUCCAGCCGAGGCGAUCCAAACACGAUUCCUGCGCAACCAGUUCCUCAUCAACCCCAAAUCUUUGCAACUACUGUCGACAGAAGAGCAGCUCACGCGGUGGCACGUUUUCGGGGUGUACAAGCCCCCAUUCUGCCCCAUGCGCCGCGUUGAGGCAGCGGACAACUACCACAACGUCUCUGUCGAGUCGUUCGUGGAGUCCGCACUUCAGUCGAAGGACGUCUACCCGGUGCUAAAGCGUGUCUUGAAGCCGUCCGAGGUGCGCGUGCGCGUCCUCUACAAUCUCGACAGCCUUGCCUCGGGUCCAGUGCUCAUCAGCGUCUCCGAUGCCCACCGCUACGCGACGUCGCUGCAGACGACAUCGAUGGAGUACGAUCUACUCGUUGGUGGGCAUCUCCCGGUACACGGCACUGGCAAUCACACUGUCAUCGACGUGGCGCAGCUCUUCCCUGGCGCCUCUGUACCUCUGUCCAGCAGCGGCGUUGGUGCAGACGCUGAAAAGGCAUCCGCCGUUGUACCCCAGGCCCACUACGAGGUGAAAGAGAACGGAUACUACAGCGUGCACCCGGUGUCGCUACUGCACAUCGUGAUUCGGAGCCCGCCAACGUCGCAGCCGCCGAUGCUGGAACGGUUUGCGCGGGAGCAGCUUGGCACCUGUGUCAUCGGUGACCCACUGGUGAUGGGGGAGCUGAUGCAGCUUCGCGCUAACCCAGCCGCGCCGAGCUCACGCAUAUCGGCGAGCUCCACGAAGGAGAGUAGCGACUCUGCACAGAAGUGUCGAGGGGAUGCUGAAGAUGGGUGUAGCGGGUCCAAGAGAGAUCCAGCCGCACAAGCAGCGGCCAUGAGGCUAGCCGCAAACCCGCACAUUGUCCCCUGGCGCGGCGACUGCGACUUUCCUCGCGUCUUUAUGCACCUGCGUGAGGUGCGAAUCGACACUAGCGCUGAGACACCGAGCAGCGUCCCUGAAUGCGCCUAUGCGCAGGACUCGCACUCUAUGCUCCACGGCGCCACAAUGGCCUUCAUGGGCAGCCACCACAGCGGCAGUGCCUCACGAGAGCAAAUGCAUGCACAGCAGUUUGCACCGUCUCAGGAGAUUCAGGUGCACUGCCGCAAGUGUUUCGACGGUCUCCUGCAGAAGCAGCUCAAUGCCUCGUUCAAGUCUCGCCGAAUGGGCUUACUAGAUGGCACUUGGACUCCACAGACAGAGUACUUGUGAGGUCCCGAACAAAAAAAAAGGAGGGCCACAGAGGCCGUCGCGAGAGCGGAGGGGCAGCUGUGCCGCGCGGAGGUGGUGUAACCGACGAGGUGCAAGACACGCGGUUCAGACGAGGAAUGAGGGCAAGUGAGGAGACCUGCACAGCAGGUACGCAUGCGUACGUGGCGUGCACGCGUCCUCUUUCGUUGACUGUUUUCUAACAGCUGUGAUUCCCUAAGUCUCUCUCUCUCUCUCGCUGCUCUCGCUUGCGCGCUUGGAAGGGCUUCCUUGAGUUUGUGUGUGUGUGUGUGUGUGUCUACGUGAUCUGCACUGACAUCUACUCCGUUGUGGCACGUAUC